AAGCCACACCCUUUCUUUCUGAAGGUUGGAUUGGUCGGCGCCGCAGAAACCAAGGUGGAGUCAAAAGGCCGAAAUCCCGCCCACCUCCCGCGGAUCACCACACCCUCUGAAGAUGGUAUAUGGAGCACAAAAAGCUCAUCCUCAGGAAGGUCUCUUCUCAGCCGGGGCUCAGGAGCCACACAAUCAGCAGCUGCAAUGCACCAGAACUAGUAAACAGGAUGGGUCCCAGCUCACUAACAGUUUUGCUGCCUGGUGCCACCUGGUGGUGAUAAGCAGUAAAUGGGUGACAGGAAAAAGGAUGGCUAUUUGUUAGAAGUGUCUGAGAGUACCAACACUUCCUGGAUUUGCAACCUGCAUUUGUAUGUAAACUACAAUGGCCUCCUAGGGGAGGCAGAGGGUUGGUUGUGGUAAUCUGGCCCCAGCCCACUCUCCAAGGUAGAAUGGGCAAGAUUGGAGAUUUCAUCUGUAUUAUUCCCAGCAAGUUACAGCAAAGUAGUGGUCCCAUUGUUGGCUGACUCUAUCAUUAGAACCUUCUUAUGCCAAGUCUGGAGUCAGACUGCCUGAAUAGAUUCCUGGCUCUAUUCCUUACUAGUUGUGGAACUCUGAGCUGAUUACUCUUUAAGGUGCUUUCUCCUCUACAAACAGGUAUGAUAAUACCCAUUGUGUCAAUGAGAUAUUGCAUGUAAAGUGCAUAGCACAAAGUACCUUGUUCAAUAAAUGUUAGCUAUUAUUCUAGAA